ensembl:lncRNA
GAAAGAAAGAAAGAAAGAAAGAAUGAAUGAAAGAAUGAAUGAACGAACGAAUGAACGAACGAACAAAUAAAAAAAUUGACUUUUUAUGACAAGGCAAGGUUCCGGUAAAAAUAUGUCAUAACUGUCAAUCGAUUAAAAAAUAACUAAUUUAUUUCACUUUUUUUUUCUGAAAUUAAUUGUGAUUAAUCCCACCUAACAUGGAUAAAAAUUUAAAUGUACUUUCAUAUUGCAAUAAUUUAAAAUUCAAUCUUCAAAUUAAAGCUCCAAUAUGUAGGAAUUUUGUAAUAAAAUUUCCGAAAAUAACUUGCACAGUGUGAUAUAUUUCCUCCAGUUGUGUACUUACAAUAUCUCAAAAGUCUCCAAAGAUUUUUUAUUUCAGAGAAAUUCCGAUUUUAAAUAACUGGCCGUCCCGGAAAAAAUAUGUCGCCUCGCAGUGACGCAAUGUCCGCUCUAUACUUUUUUUCCGGUGUAGACCACGUUCCACCACACCGUAAUAUCACAUGGUCAAAUGCGGAAGUGGUGGUUAUGUUAUAGCCGCGCGUAUGGUUUGGUUGUCGUUGUUAUGGAUCACGAUAACUCUUUGGCGAGUAUUGAAGUGCCAGUAAAACGUAAGCGUCCAUAUUCGGAUACACGCAGACUGUGUGACAAACGGAGGAUUAAAACCAGGAUAAAUAUCGGCCAGGCGUUUACGAGAUGGAGAGAGCUGCGCGAAAAUCUUGGACUUGACAGAGACUCUGCUCUCGCGAGUGUAUUGAUAGACAGUGGCUGAGUCUCCUGGAACCGUUCGGAUGACAGAUCAAAGCUUCUCGCUCGCUCUGUGCUGGUCCAGCUACUCUGGUGAUGCUAGCCAUCGGUCCUGGAUCCAAAGACAGGCUUCUGCCUUCACAGACCAUGGCUUGGAUUGUUUCCCCAAGUGCGGACAUUGGGCUUUGAUGGUCAGUUUGCUGUGACUGAGACCCAAGGGUAGGCUUAGAAGGGCUGAACAUGGGAAAAGAGGAUGAAACGGAAGCUGGAAAAAAGAGAAAAAUUCUCCUUUCCGCAGACAGAUUUUGUCAGCAGCAUUCAUGCUUCAUAAGCUGGAGUUAGCAUGUUUUUGGUUGUGUGUAAGCACUAUAGGAGUUGAGCCAAAACAUAAGCAGCAGAGAUAUCCCACAAUGUGUGGCUUUUGGGGGCUAAACCUGAAUUAACUGAAAAGCUCAUUUUGAAUUAAUUAUAUGAUAUGGUGAUUAAGUAACCAAAUGAAUAAUAAUUCAAAUAAAUAUUUGCUGAAAAAAAAAGAAAGAAAAGUA